UCGAGAGGCUUCGGCAAUGGGGGAAACCCUGACCGAGCGACGCCGCGUGGGGGAUGAAGGCCCUUGGGUUGUAAACCCCUUUUGUUCGGGAAGAAAUGCGAUCAGGUGAAUAAUCUGGUCGUUUGACGGUACCGGACGAAUAAGCGCCGGCUAACUCCGUGCCAGCAGCCGCGGUAAUACGGAGGGUGCGAGCGUUGUCCGGAAUCAUUGGGCGUAAAGGGCGCGUAGGUGGCCCGGUCAGUCUUUGGUGAAAGCGCGGGGCUCAACCCUGCGUCGGCCAGGGAUACUGCCGCGGCUCGAGCACUGUAGAGGCAGGCGGAAUUCCGGGUGUAGCGGUGGAAUGCGUAGAGAUCCGGAAGAACACCGGUGGCGAAGGCGGCCUGCUGGGCAGUUUGGCUGACACUGAGGCGCGACAGCGUGGGGAGCAAAC
rnacentral:rRNA from 1 species